AUAGCUGAGUGGUAAAGCGCUUGGCUUCCGAACAGAGGUUCCAGGUUCUAAUCCUGGU
rfam:Biomphalaria glabrata isolate BB02 unplaced genomic scaffold LGTN_random_Scaffold121, whole genome shotgun sequence.